GGCAGGGUAGUAUAAUGGCUAAGGGGUUGGUCUUGUACCCCUAAAGGUCGCAGGUUCGAUUCCUGGGUAGGACA
rnacentral:tRNA from 1 species